UGGAUGCCCAGCCCAGCUGAGGUCUCAGAUGACUCUACUGUUCCAGCUGAGCCAAGAGAGAAUCACCCAGCUGAGCUCAGUGACUCUUCCCAGCUGUGACAGUUAAUAAUAAAGUAUUGAUUCAGACUGUGGAAGAUCAUGACUCAUGAGUGGAUCAUAAGGUCAUUCUCGUGGGCUGCAAAAAAGUAAAUCAAAUAGAAUAGAAUUUAUCAGAGCGCAUGACACAGAAGGCACUUUUAAGAUGUUUCCAUCUUUUCUUGUCUACAAGGAUUCUGAGCAAGUUUCCAGGAUGAAGUAAAAAUAUACAGAAGGAACAGAGAGACGAAAGGUCUUGAGCUGGUGUGUGUGCCCAGUAACAGCGGGUGACACAUACGUGUGCUUGCCCUGUACUUGGUCCUCUCUGUGCUAAGGACUCAACACAACCGACUCACAGAGGUGUUCUAAUGACGCCCAUUUUA